rnacentral:rRNA from 1 species
AACGAACGCUGGCGGCAUGCCUAACACAUGCAAGUCGAACGGUAACAGCGGUGCUUGCACCGGCUGACGAGUGGCGCACGGGUGAGUAACGCGUGGAUACAUACCUCGAUGUGGGGGACAACAGUUGGAAACGACUGCUAAUACCGCAUAUCUCCUGAGGGAGAAAGACUUCGGUCGCAUUGAGAGUGGUCCGCGUAGGAUUAGCUAGUUGGUGGGGUAAAGGCCCACCAAGGCGACGAUCCUUAGCUGGUCUGAGAGGAUGAUCAGCCACACUGGAACUGAGACACGGUCCAG